UACGAAGGGAGCUAGCGUUGUUCGGAAUCACUGGGCGUAAAGCGCACGUAGGCGGAUGUGUCAGUCAGGGGGUGAAAUCCCGGAGCUCAACUUCGGAACUGCCUUUGAUACAGCACGUCUUGAGUCCGAUAGAGGUGGGUGGAAUUCCUAGUGUAGAGGUGAAAUUCGUAGAUAUUAGGAAGAAUACCGGUGGCGAAGGCGGCCCACUGGAUCGGUACUGACGCUGAGGUGCGAAAGCGUGGGGAGCAAACAGG
rnacentral:rRNA from 1 species